rnacentral:RNase_P_RNA from 1 species
GAUACGAGUCGGCUUAUCGCGUCUGAGCAAUUAGGCGAGGAAAGUCCGGGCAGCAUAGGGCACCCUACUUCCUAACGGGAAGGCGGGCGGUUGGGAACGACCGUUCGACAGCCAGUGUCACAGAGAAUAUACCGCCCCGCUUUGGUGGGGUAAGGGUGAAAAGGUGGAGUAAGAGCCCACCGCCCGCUGGGUGACCAGCGGGGCAGGAUAAACCUUAGGGGCUGAAAGACCAAAUAAGCGUCGGACGUGGGGCGGCCCGUUCCCGUUUCAGCGUAAGCCCAACCGGGCCUGCGUUUACUGCCGAUGCGGGUAGGUCGAACGAGGUGGCCGGUGACGGCCAUCCUAGAUAAAUGAUAAGCCAUUUCGCUUUUGGCGGGAAGACAGAACCCGGCUUAUAGACUCGUGUUGUGA